CUACGGGGGGCACCAGUGGGGAAUAUUGGACAAUGGGGGAAACCCUGAUCCAGCCAUGCCGCGUGUGUGAAGAAGGCCCGAGGGUUGUAAAGCACUUUCAGUUGGGAAGAAGGGUAGUUAGCUAAUACCUAGCUAUCUUGACAUUACCUUCAGAAGAAGCACCGGCUAACUCUGUGCCAGCAGCCGCGGUAAUACAGAGGGUGCAAGCGUUAUUCGGAAUUACUGGGCGUAAAGCGCGCGUAGGCGGAUUGUUAAGUCAGUUGUGAAAGCCCUGGGCUCAACCUAGGAAUUGCAUCUGAUACUGGCAGUCUAGAGUUUAAGAGAGGGAAGGGGAAUUCCAGGUGUAGCAGUGAAAUGCGUAGAUAUCUGGAGGAACAUCAGUGGCGAAGGCGCCUUCCUGGCUUAAAACUGACGCUGAGGUGCGAAAGCGUGGGUAGCGAACGGGAUUAGAUACCCCCGUAGUC
rnacentral:rRNA from 1 species